AAUAGAUACCCAGGUAGUCCACGCCGUAAACGAUGAGUGCUAGGUGUUGGGGGGGUCCACCCCUCGGUGCCGAAGUUAACACAUUAAGCACUCCGCCUGGGGAGUACGGUCGCAAGACUGAAACUCAAAAGGAAUUGACGGGGACCCGCACAAGCAGUGGAGUAUGUGGUUUAAUUCGAAGCAACGCGAAGAACCUUACCAGGUCUUGACAUCCCUCUGAAUCGUCUAGAGAUAGGCGCGGCCUUCGGGACAGAGGAGACAGGUGGUGCAUGGUUGUCGUCAGCUCGUGUCGUGAGAUGUUGGGUUAAGUCCCGCAACGAGCGCAACCCUUGAUCUUAGUUGCCAGCACGUUAUGGUGGGCACUCUAAGGUGACUGCCGGUGACAAACCGGAGGAAGGUGGGGAUGACGUCAAAUCAUCAUGCCCCUUAUGACCUGGGCUACACACGUACUACAAUGGCCGGUACAACGGGCAGCGAAGGAGCGAUCUGGAGCCAAUCCUCUAAAGCCGGUCUCAGUUCGGAUUGCAGGCUGCAAC
rnacentral:rRNA from 1 species